rnacentral:rRNA from 1 species
UAUUAACCCCUUUCCAACUUAUAUUGAGAACUUUCUAUAACUAUAUAGAACCUUCUCAUGCUAAAACUAGUAACAAGAGAAAAUCCUCUCCCUAAUGCAAACAUAAGCCAGCAAGAACCCAUCACUGGCAAUUAACAGCCCUAAACAAAAUAGCAACCUCACUAGAAAACCCUACUCCCCCAACUGUUAACCUAACACUAGAGCAUUUCAAGAAAGAUUAAAAGAAAAAGAAGGAACUCGGCAAACUCCAGUCCCGCCUGUUUACCAAAAACAUCGCCUCUUGCUCUCUAUAAGAGGUCUAACCUGCCCAGUGACUCUGUUCAACGGCCGCGGUAUCCUAACCGUGCGAAGGUAGCGUAAUCACUUGUUUUCUAAAUAAAGACCUGUAUGAAAGGUAUAACGAGGACUAAACUGUCUCCUUUUUCCAAUCAGUGAACCUAAUCUCCCCGUGAAGAAGCGGGGAUUUCUAUAUAAGACGAGAAGACCCUAUGGAGCUUAAAACAUCAUAACACCUGCCACCCACCUUUAAUUACCCAAGUAUUCCUUCAACCGGCACCCUGAUUCUAUGUUUUUGGUUGGGGUGACCGCGGAGAAAACCUCAUCCUCCGCAAUGAAAGGGGAUUUUCCCCUAAACAAUAAGUUACAACUUUAUGUAUCAACAAAUUAACAUCCAUUGACCCAAUAAAUUGAUUAAUGAACCAAGUUACCCUAGGGAUAACAGCGCAAUCCACUUUAAGAGCCCCUAUCGACAAGUGGGCUUACGACCUCGAUGUUGGAUCGGGAUAUCCUAGUGGUGCAGCCGCUACUAAGGGUUCGUUUGUUCAACGAUUAAAAUCCUACCUGAUCUGAG